rnacentral:rRNA from 1 species
CCUACGGGAGGCAGCAGUGAGGAAUAUUGGUCAAUGGCCGUAAGGCUGAACCAGCCAAGUCGCGUGAAGGAAGAAGGAUCUAUGGUUUGUAAACUUCUUUUAUAGGGGAAUAAAGGUAUCCACGUGUGGAUAUUUGCAUGUACCCUAUGAAUAAGCAUCGGCUAACUCCGUGCCAGCAGCCGCGGUAAUACGGAGGAUGCGAGCGUUAUCCGGAUUUAUUGGGUUUAAAGGGUGCGUAGGUUGUUUUUUAAGUCAGCGGUGAAAGUUUGUGGCUCAACCAUAAAAUUGCCGUUGAAACUGGAAGACGUGAGUGUGUUUGAGGUAGGCGGAAUGCGUGGUGUAGCGGUGAAAUGCAUAGAUAUCACGCAGAACUCCGAGUGCGAAGGCAGCUUACUAAGCCAUAACUGACACUGAAGCACGAAAGCGUGGGGAUCAAACAGGAUUAGAUACCCCUGUAGUC